rnacentral:misc_RNA from 1 species
UUUUGAUAAAGUGAAAUAAGACACCAAAGCUGAACCU